rnacentral:misc_RNA from 1 species
UCAAACUUGGUCAUUUAGAGGAAGUAAAAGUCGUAACAAGGUUUCCGUAGGUGAACCUGCGGAAGGAUCAUUAACGUAAUCUCUGGGUGGGUGAGGUCUCACCAAGCUCCGUGGCCCCGUCGCAGCGGGUGCGCCUGAGCCCGCUCAAACUUUGCAAACCCACACCGUGCACCUUUGACGGCGGAGGGCGCUUGGCAUCUGCCGAGUGCCCAAGGCCGGACCCACAAACUCAGUUCAUUAACGAAUGUUCAGCGGACGUUGCGCCGCCUAAAACUUUGACAACUUUCAACAACGGAUCUCUUGGCUCUCGCAUCGAUGAAGAACGCAGC